rnacentral:misc_RNA from 1 species
GAUGAAGAACGUAGCGAAAUGCGAUAAGUAAUGUGAAUUGCAGAAUUCAGUGAAUCAUCGAAUCUUUGAACGCACAUUGCGCCCGCCAGUAUUCUGGCGGGCAUGCCUGUCCGAGCGUCAUUUCAACCCUCGAACCCCUCCGGGGGGUCGGCGUUGGGGACCUCGGGAGCCCCUAAGACGGGAUCCCGGCCCCGAAAUACAGUGGCGGUCUCGCCGCAGCCUCUCCUGCGCAGUAGUUUGCACAACUCGCACCGGGAGCGCGGCGCGUCCACGUCCGUAAAACACCCAACUUCUGAAAUGUUGACCUCGGAUCAGGUAGAAAUACCCGCUGAACUUAAGCAUAUCAAUAAGCGGAGGA